rnacentral:lncRNA from 1 species
GUUUUUGCGGCGCUUCUAAUUUUGGAUUUACGGUGCUUUACAAGAAACAGCCCAAAAUCCAUUGGUCCUUCAAACGGUGACGCACUUCACUCGGAAUUGGUCAACUGUUUUGUGAGGUUUGUGUAAACACUAUUGAUGCGCGCUCGGCAUUCACCAAAGAAAAGCACCAGAUCGCACGCGAAUCGCCAAACGAGCAUCAUCUGCCCGCGCGAGGACCAUACAAGCACUUUAUUCGACGCUUAAGCGACUGGAAUGUCUGCAUCAGUCGAUAUCCACGCGCAGCUGGCGUCGAUCCUCGAGCGCUUCGCCAAAUGCGCGCUGCUGGAGAUGAGCCGCGCGGUGGAGCAGGAGAUGACGCGCCGCCAGAUGGAGGUCGAGACGCUGCUGGUCAAGCUUCAGUUCACCGAGAGCGAGCUGCGGUCGGCCCGACAGAACCAAGCGAACCUGCGCUCCGUGGGAAUACAAGUCAGCAACAGCGGCCAGAGAGAGGUGAACCUCAACCUUGUGAAGUUCAAUGAAAAUCAUGACGGAGAAACACAGACAGAGACGUACACAGACGAUUCUUCAGCACAGACAUUCACAUUGAAUGUAAGCAUUGCUUCGACUCUUAGAUUAGAUUCUUAUUCAGUAUGUUAUAUAGUAUCUUGGUUUCUUGUCAUUCCCAAAUGCAGGAAGAUGGAAUCAAAUCCAUUCGGAUCAAAGAGGAGCACAUGGAGGAAGGACAGUGGGACAGCGGACCGAGUAAAAGACACGCACAGUUCUAAAAUAACCAAACUUUAA